rnacentral:tRNA from 1 species
GGGGAUGUAGUUCAGUGGUUGAGCAUGUGCCUACAAUGCAUGAGGUCCUGGCACCAUCCCCA